rnacentral:rRNA from 1 species
AACGAACGCUGGCGGCAGGCUUAACACAUGCAAGUCGAGCGCCCCGCAAGGGGAGCGGCAGACGGGUGAGUAACGCGUGGGAAUGUACCCUUUGCUACGGAAUAGCUCCGGGAAACUGGAAUUAAUACCGUAUGAGCCCUUCGGGGGAAAGAUUUAUCGGCAAAGGAUCAGCCCGCGUUGGAUUAGCUAGUUGGUGGGGUAAAGGCCUACCAAGGCGACGAUCCAUAGCUGGUCUGAGAGGAUGAUCAGCCACAUUGGGACUGAGACACGGCCCAAACUCCUACGGGAGGCAGCAGUGGGGAAUAUUGGACAAUGGGCGCAAGCCUGAUCCAGCCAUGCCGCGUGAGUGAUGAAGGCCCUAGGGUUGUAAAGCUCUUUCACCGGAGAAGAUAAUGACGGUAUCCGGAGAAGAAGCCCCGGCUAACUUCGUGCCAGCAGCCGCCGUAAUAC